rnacentral:rRNA from 1 species
UACAGAGGUCCCAAGCGUUGUUCGGAUUCACUGGGCGUAAAGGGUGCGUAGGUGGUGAGGUAAGUCGGAUGUGAAAUCUCCGAGCUCAACUCGGAAAUGGCAUUGGAAACUACCUUGCUCGAGGGUUGGAGGGGGGACUGGAAUGCUUGGUGUAGCAGUGAAAUGCGUAGAUAUCAAGCGGAACACCAGUGGCGAAGGCGAGUCCCUGGACAACUCCUGACACUGAGGCACGAAAGCGUGGGGAGCGAACAGG